GCUCCCAACACACAACCCUGAUGCACCCGUUAUGUUGGACCGUAUAUUGCGCCUCUUGGCUUGCUACAAUAUCCUCUCUUUUUCUCUUCGCACUCUCCCUCAUGGCAAGGUUGAGAGGCUCUAUGGUCUCGCCCCUGUUGCUAAGUACUUGGUCAGGAACGAAGAUGGUGUCUCCAUUGCUGCUCUCAACCUCAUGAACCAGGACAAAAUCCUCAUGGAAAGCUGGUAUCUCACUUUUUCUCACUCUUUGUCUUUAUCUUUUCCAUGAACUGAAUUCCAUAUUCUAAAAUUUGCCGAUUGUCAUCUUUUUUUAUUUUAGGAAGAUUACAUUUAGUAGGCAUGCCUAUGUUUUAGGAAGAUUGUUUUGUUAUGGGAGCAAUAGAAGGGAAGAAAAGAAAAGGGAGAGUAAGGGUAUCAGGGAAGUUAAACCUUUUACUGAGAGUUGAAAGUUAAAAUAAAAGGAAC
rnacentral:lncRNA from 1 species